AUCCUUUUCUGGUUUAUGAGCAUAAUGAUUGGAUUUUCAUGCUCAUGUGUGAGAGGUGUGGCCUCCCUCAAACGUUGUUACAAUGUCAGCACAUUACCCUUCUGACA
ensembl:snoRNA